CCCAAAGAAGAAGAAGAGUGAGACGUUUCAGACUGCACAUGCGCAAGGCCUCAAGUUGUUGUCGUUUUUUUGUCGUCGAGAAAGGUGAAGGAGAUACCUUUAGCUGCUGUUGAAGCUUGCGUCUACUUUUGAGUACAUGAUUCACCAUAUCAUUAUAUGUCCUGAAUGAUGGUCCAUUGAUCAUUUGUGCUCCCUCCUGUCUGGACAAGGCUUUGUACUCAUAACAGAUUCUGGCCUUUAUCUGCUCCCUCCCUCAUUAAUGUGGUGUAGGCGGCACUGCUGAGCUUGCACAUGAAUGAAACUGUCAAAAGAAAGAGGGAGUGCGUCCUGAAGGCACUUUGUGUCUAUCUGAAUGAAGACCCAGACAUCCUCUUCAAGGAAUACCUGGAUUCCGAUCCUACUACUCAAGGGGAGGUUGAACAAAUUCUCCAUGGCAUCUACAGCAUCACUGUUGAAGGAGGUGAUGCCGCCAUUCCUCCAGCUGAUGUGGGAAUCGUGAUCGAGGGUGUUGAAGUUCUACAUGACUUGGGAGACAUUGCCACUGCAUGUGCACUCUUGAUGGGUGUAAUCUAUGCACUGAACCUCAGUUAUCCUCAAGAACUGAAAGCCUUCUUUGAAGUGCUUCAGAAGAUCUUUCUUCAACUGGAUGCUUCAAGACUCUCAACAAAGGUACAGGUGCUCAAAAACAAACUGUUUGAAUGAGCCAACCAUUGAUUUGCAUACUGAAUGUUAUGCGGAAUAGGCACAAUUCUAUUUUGGAUCAAAACUGAAUAAAGUGAAAAGUAGUCUUGUGGUAAAACUGAGUUCCAAGUUACAAGAAUUGAGAAGUGAAUUGAAAGGCCAAUGUUGACAGCAGCAAGUGUGGUGUUAGAUUUUUAGACCAUUAUGCUGUUUGAAUUUUUUUUGAAAACACCAAGCCUGUCAUGUUAGACCAAAAUAUUGUCAAAAGGAUGUUUUUUGUUCUAUGUUGUAUGUGUUAUGCUGCAUAAAGGCAGUUUACAGAUGUCCAUGGACUAUCGUGUACCAUAAUGUUGCCAACUGAGUUUAUUUGGAUGGAUGCAACAAAUGGUUAUUUUCAUUAGUGAUUAAUCUGUCCAUUUUUUUCUAUUGGUUGUCACUUUGAGAAUCUGUGAUUGGCAUUUUUGACUUGAUACACCAAGGUGUAAAACCUUAUGUUUUAUUUUGUCACAACCAAUAGUCCACAACCCAAAGAUAGGUGGUUUACUGUCAGAGGACUAAAUAAACCAGAAAGUAUUUACAUUUAAAGGGAUAGUUUGGGUUUUUUGAAGAGGGGUUGUAUGAAGUACUUGUACAUAGUCAGUGUAUACCUGCGUUAAAAAUGUCAUAAUGUUGUUUUUGGACCAAGUGCACCAAAAUGCUAAUGUUAAAUGCGUUGGUGAAUAAAGGAAUUAACAAAAAUA